GGGUUGUUUUGGUGAGCGAAAGUUUAGGUUUUGCUGUGAUGGUACUGGGUUUUCUUUGAUUUAUGGAUUUUGGUGUUAGAUUUGGGGAGAAUAUGGUUUAAUUUGAUUGACGAUAACUCUUGAGUCUUUCCCCACCUUAACAGUGGCCGACUCUUAAUAGUCAAGAAACCUAAAGAGGUUUGCGUUGCCCCCUCUGUUUUCUGAAUCUUUGGCACCCCAUGGCUCCUUGCGCAAUCAAUUGUUCUCUAAGGCUCACACUACGUUUCAACUUUAUUUGGGGUUGUUUUUGAGAUCUAAUGGUCUUGCAUGGAUCUCCUAAUCUUCUU
rnacentral:misc_RNA from 1 species